rnacentral:sRNA from 2 species
CCGGAUGUCCGGUCGACAUCAGUGGAUCGGCAGGAGUGGAGGACCCAGGCACAGCGGGCCGCCCUGAGCAGUUCAGGACCGGCCCUUGGGGUGAAGCCGCAUACAGCGGCCGGGCAUCUUCGCCAGCCCGAACCCGACAGGUCACCCUUCACAGGCGGUUGACGAAGGGUUA